rnacentral:rRNA from 1 species
GACGAACGCUGGCGGCGUGCUUAACACAUGCAAGUCGAACGGAAAGGCCCUGCUUUUGUGGGGUGCUCGAGUGGCGAACGGGUGAGUAACACGUGAGUAACCUGCCCUUGACUUUGGGAUAACUUCAGGAAACUGGUGCUAAUACCGGAUAGGAGCUCCUGCUGCAUGGUGGGGGUUGGAAAGUUUCGGCGGUUGGGGAUGGACUCGCGGCUUAUCAGCUUGUUGGUGGGGUAGUGGCUUACCAAGGCUUCGAUGGGUAGCCGGCCUGGGAGGGUGACCGGCCACAUUGGGACUGAGAUACGGCCCAGACUCCUACGGGAGGCAGCAGUGGGGAAUAUUGCACAAUGGGCGGAAGCCUGAUGCAGCAACGCCGCGUGCGGGAUGACGGCCUUCGGGUUGUAAACCGCUUUCGCCUGUGACGAAGCGUGAGAGACGGUAAUGGGUAAAGAAGCACCGGCUAACUACGUG